UUUAGAGAGUAUUUCUCUAGAUGCUACCUACAAGUGCUGCCUAGAUGCCCUCAGGUGGAUUCUCCCUCUGCUUCAGCAGUCAGUAGCUCAGCUGCAGGCACUUUCUUGUCCCCUUUAACUAAGUGGAAAUUGGAAAGGUCUGUAGUUUUUGAAAAAAGAUGGAUGUUUUUCAAAUUUGUAACCUAAACCACUUAAGAAGUUGAAUGUAACUUCACAGAUGGUUUUACAGGAAAUAAAAGAUCAAGUGCUCACAAGGUUAAAUUUCAGGAAAGCCUUCUUGGAUACGAGAUAAAGGCGGGGUGUAAAGUGAAAACAAAAGUAGCUGGAGUUAGGUCAUUUGAUUUUACACUCUGUACUCAAGACUGCUCCUCUCUGUCGACUGCAACAGAUUGGAGCCAUGGCUUUGGAACAGAACCAGUCAACAGAUUAUUAUUAUGAGGAAAAUGAAACGAAUGGCUCUUAUGACUACAGUCAAUAUGAAUUGAUCUGUAUCAAAGAAGACGUCAGAGAAUUUGCAAAAGUUUUCCUCCCUGUAUUCCUCACAAUAGCUUUUGUCAUUGGACUUGCAGGCAAUUCCACGGUAGUGGCAAUUUAUGCCUAUUACAAGAAACAGAGAACCAAAACAGAUGUGUACAUCCUGAAUUUGGCUGUGGCAGAUUUACUCCUUCUAUUCACUCUGCCUUUUUGGGCUGUUAAUGCAGUUCAUGGGUGGGUUUUAGGGAAAAUAAUGUGCAAAAUAACUUCAGCCUUGUACACACUAAACUUUGUCUCUGGAAUGCAGUUUCUGGCUUGUAUCAGCAUAGACAGAUACGUGGCAGUAACUAAAGGCCCCAGCCAAUCAGCAGUGGGAAAACCAUGCUGGGUCAUCUGUUUCUGUGUCUGGAUGGCUGCCAUCUUGCUGAGCAUACCCCAGCUGGUUUUUUAUACAGUAAAUGACAAUGCUAGGUGCAUUCCCAUUUUUCCCCACUACCUAGGAACAUCAAUGAAAGCAUCGAUUCAAAUGCUAGAAAUCUGCAUUGGAUUUGUAGUACCCUUUCUUAUUAUGGGGGUGUGCUACUUUAUCACUGCAAGGACACUCAUGAAGAUGCCAAACAUUAAAAUAUCUCGACCCCUAAAAGUUCUGCUCACAGUGGUUCUAGUUUUCAUUGUCACUCAGCUGCCUUAUAACAUUGUCAAGUUCUGCCGAGCCAUAGACAUCAUCUACUCCCUGAUCACCAACUGCAACAUGAGCAAACGCAUGGACAUUGCCAUCCAAAUCACAGAAAGCAUCGCACUCUUUCACAGCUGCCUCAACCCAAUCCUUUAUGUUUUUAUGGGAGCAUCUUUCAAAAACUACAUUAUGAAAGUGGCCAAGAAAUAUGGGUCCUGGAGAAGACAGAGACAAAGUGUGGAGGAGUUUCGUUUUGAUUCUGAGGGUCCUACAGAGCCAACCAGUACUUUUAGCAUUUAAAGAUAAAACUGCUCUGCCUUUUGCUUGGAUACAUAUGAAUGAUGCUUCCCCCUCAAAUAAAACAUUUGCAUUAUUCUGAAACUCAAAUCUCAAAUGCUGUGGUCGCAAUUUACAAUAAAGAAUGGGUUGGGAGAAGGGGGAGAAAUAAAAGCCAAGAAGAGGAAACAAGAUAAUAAAUGUACAAAACAUGAUAAUUAAAAUGAACAAAGGAAAAUAAUAGUAACAGGCAUAAGUGAAUAAGAACACUCUGCUAUAAAGAAGAAGAGCUUUGAGGAUUAUAAUUUGAGCCAUAUGUCCAGUACUGAUGAAAGUUCUAUUUUUCUGAGUUUAUGGAAGAGUUUAAUAUUUUCAAAUUUGACUGAAACACAGAACCACAUCCUAUAUUUCUGCAGCUCAUCCAUAACUCCAGGAUGACUGACUACAAAGGAGAGAAUGGUGAUUGGCAUUUACCUGUCAUACAGAAGCAAGAGGUAAUGUUCCCUUGAAGAAGAGGCUCAAGCCACUGUUUCUUCUGUUCCUCACUUCCAUACAGGUGCAGAACCUCCAUGUUCCCUGUGUCUAUACAUAAGAAGGAGUAUUUGUUUUGCAUUUGAAAAUUUAUCAAUAUGAAAUCCACAACUUUAUAUAGAGAGUAGAGAAAUGCAUCUUUUUAAAGCAAAUGUUUGCAAACAAAAAUGUUUUGAAACAUAUAGUAAGUAUAAUUUACACUGACAGCAUGUCAUAAAUAUUUACAAGUACAUGGUAUUUGGUACAUAUUUAUUCAACUUUUUCUGAAUCACAGACUCUUCAUCAGUUCAUCCCAAUGAAGAAUGGCACUAAUGACGUCUAACUCAAUUAGAACUGAAGGAAACAAUUUACUGGCCUAAACCUUGCCUGCUGUAUUGCAAAUAUGCCCUGCUAGAAGUGAUUGCAAUGCUCCCGGAGAACAAUUAACAUUGCAUGUCCUACUGAGACUCCAGCCCUUAAUUCUAUCUGCUGUUCUUCAAACACACCCUAUGCUUUCUAAUUUCCACAUAUUUGCUUGGGUCAGGCUUUUUCUCUAGUGAAAUUCUCCCUGUCCUUCACAAGUAAACUCCUGCUUAUGAGCCACCUCCUCUGCAAAGAAUCUCUGAUUACCCAGUCAGUAACACCUCCUUCCUCUGAACUCACAUAACAAUUAUUUCUAUUUACCUCUAACAUUGCUCUUACUUUUAUGUACCCCAUACUACCUAGAAAAUACUUGAUAAUUCUCAAGGAUGAUAAAGAGAGAAUCCCCGCCCUGGAAAGAAAAUGGCAGUAGAGAACUUUAAAGACCUUCUCUGACCCUUGGAGGAUUUAUUGUUUAUAGUACAUGAUGCACUGUAGUAUCGCCCUUGGCUAACAAAGAAUUCUUCAUGUCUGCCAUGGAGUAAAAUUUUCUAGAUGGCUUCCUCUGAUUUUCCAUUCCUGUCAAAUUUCUUAAAAUACUGUCUAAAAUCUU